GCGAACGUGGUGGAAUUGGUAGACACGCGAGCCUUAGGAGCUCGUUCCCGUAAGGGAGUGCGGGUUCGAGUCCCGCCGUUCGCA
rnacentral:tRNA from 1 species